CUUUGAACACUUCACAUGCUAAGUUAUUGAUGGAGAUUUGAGACAUAAAAGAGCUUGAUUGGCCAAAGCUUAUGUUCGUGUCUGCUAGCAAUAGGGACAAAAGAAAGUAUUAUCAUUUCCACAAUGAUCGUAAGCAUGACAUAAAAAAUUGCAUCGAUCUGAAAGAAAAGAUUGAUUAUCUUCUGAUAUAGGGAUUCCUAGCUAAAUACAUGAAAAAUGAUUAGGGCAAGGAGAAAGUCGAGAUUCAAUCAAAACGUCACUUUUGGUGAUGAUGACUUAAUCGGUGUAGCAAGCUCCCAUGAUGAUGCCCUAGAGGUAGGAAAUAUAGUGGAUUUUGAUAUCAAAAAGGUGCUAGUCGAUGGUGUUAGUGCAACUAAUGUUCUUAUUUGAAAAGCCUUUCUUGGGGUUGAAAUCUCUAUCAAAAAAUUAAAAACCGCAAUCACCUUUCUUCGAGGAUUUUGCAAGGCAACUGUGAUACUAAAUGGAACCGUAGAUCUUCCAAUUAAGCUAGCACUCACCCAGCAAGUGUUAUGUAGAUAACAUACAAGCCAAGGGCUCUCCACCGGUCAUGAUGUUAGGCUUUUAAUCCUCUAAGGAGCUAGGUGUUAAGCAUCCUAGUGGUGGACUUUUUGAAAAUAUGAUUGGUUAGGUAAGAUUAGGGAUGGCAAAUUGGCUCGAGAGCUUGGGCCACUCGUGGCUCGACCUGUAAAAAGCUCGAACCGACCCAGCUCGAGGCUUGGUGGAACUGAGCCUAGGCUUGGUCCAAACCUCAUCUUGGGGUGUCGGGUGCGAAAUUUAAAAAAAAAAAUUGUAGCAGCUAGCAGCUGAAAAUAAAAUAAAAUAGAAGAGAAGAAAGAAAGAGAAAAAGAACCAAGCCGGCUCGGCCCGAGCCUAAAGCUCGGUUGGAGCCUUGAUUUUUUGGCCGUGCUUUUGCUCGGCUCGAGCCAAAAAAAGCUUGACCUAAAAAAGCUCGAUCCGAACCCGAGCCUUGAUUUUCGGCUCGAAAGCAGGCUCAACUCGGCUCGUUGACACCUCUAAUAAUAUAUGUUUCUAUUCUCCUUGUAAAUAUAGUUGUUAUGUUUUUUUUAUUGUUUUUCCAAAUGUAAUGCUUGUUACUAGUUCAAGCGUCUUGGAAUUAAUAGCCUUAUUUUGAAAAGUCUAUAUGUUGGUAGACGAUGAGGGUAGUAAGGAAAGUCCAACCUACAUUGGACGUCUCAAUGUGCCUAUUAAGUCCAUAAAUCGAGGCAAACUUUAUGUAAACGCACACACUUAAUCUACAAUCAUUGAGAUUUUUAAUACGAAUCAUGGGCUCCAAACUUCGUUUAACACAUCAAAAUCACUCGACUAUCUUAUUGGUGAGCUUUCAAAACCAAAAAAUUUGAUUAAAUAUCAAAAUCACUAGACAAAUGAUCAACACAUCAAAAGCCACCAAGGAGCUAAGCAGUGAGCAAGAAAACUAAAAAAUUGGCUUUAAACUCAAAAUUGCUUCAAAAUCUUAGUGGUAAGCUUUAAAAAAUAAAAGAAAUUGGUUAAGCCUUAAAAUCACUAGAUAGGCAUUCAACACAUCAAAAUCAUCCAAGGAGUUAGGAGGUGAGCCAAAAAAAAAAAAAAAAAAAAAAAAAAAAAAAAAAAAAAUAAAACCAAAGAAAUUGGUUAAGGCUCAAAAUAAUUAGACUAGCGUUCAACACAACAAAAUCGUCCAAUGGACUAGGCGACGAGCAAAAAAAAGCCAAAAUUUUAGUUAUAAGCACAAAAUUGCUCUACAUUCUCAAUAGUGAGCUUUUAGAAUAAAAUAAAAAAUGGUUAAAGCUCAAAAUCACUAGACAAGCGCUCAACACAUUAAAAUCGUCCAAGAGACUAGGCGGUGAUCAAAAAAUCAAAAAAGUGGUUAUAAGCUCAAAAUCCACCUUCAGUAUCAGUGGUGAAUUUUUAAAACCAAAAGAUUGAUGAAGGCUCAAAAUUACUACAUCAUGCGCUCAACCUAACAAAUCGUCCAGGGACUAAGCAGUGAAAAAAAUUUGCUUAUGAGCUCAAAAUAUCUCUACGAUCCUUGUGGUGAGUUUUCGAAACCAAAAUAUUAGUUAAUGCUCAAAAUCACUAAACCCCACACUCAACACAUCAAAAUCGCCAAGGGCUAAGCAUUCCGCAAACAAAUUAACAAAUUGGUUAAAGCUCAAGAAAUCUUCAAUGGAAAUACCAUAACUAAAAUUCGCUAACUAAACUCGAAGUUGCAAAAAAUAUUGAGUAGCAAGCAAUUGAUUCAAUAUGGUUGAAGAAUUAUAAGAACUAGGUCCCUUUGGAAGGUUAAGGAGCACCACUUUAAUUGGAUCCCGCUCAAUGUUAAUAUUUUGAUUGGGAAAAUUAAAGGAACCAAUAUGAUUUUUAGGGAAACUUUGACCAAGAAUGUUGGAAUCUCUAAAAUUUGUUGAUUGAAAAUCAUUUUGAGAAGAGGAGGCAGGGUCGAUCGACUGGCCACGGGGCUGGUAGAUUGAACAACCGCAUUGUUGUCGAUCAACCCAGUGAAAGAUGGCCUUCUCGUCCUCACUUUCACUCUCACCCCCACUUGAUUUGCAAGAGGAUGAUUUUAAAUUUUCUUGGCCAGAGGAAGAGGAUAAUGCUAACUUAUUUGUAGAGAUGAAAUGGAAAUAUAAGUAUUUGCUCUUAUGACAUAGAGGAGUGUUGAUAAUAAAUACUAAAAAAAGGUAGAGCGGCUAGUGAUACUAUGUGAUAUAAAUGGUGGACUAUGAUGGCCAACCAAGCGAAAGUAAUUGCUCAAUUAUCACUAUGAUCGACCAACUACCAUGAUGGUCAGUCGACUACCAAAAUGGUCGAUUGUCUACCAUGAUGACCUAUCGACUAACACAAGUUGACUGAAUACCAUGAUGGUUGAUCGACUACCACGAUGACCUACAUACCUCGAUGGUCGAUCGACUACCACUACGAUCAAUCUACCACUAGAUGGUCAAUCACAAAGAAGCUCGAUCUAGUACUCUAUUCCUCAAUUGUUCGAAUAUUUUUUUCAUAAAUAAGAAACCGCAUGAUAACUACAUCUGAUUUCGUUAACCGCCUGAUGAAUGAGAAGUAACCGUUAUACGUGUGGAUAAUAGGUAACAACUAUGCAUGCAAGUACUGCUAUAAUCGCUAUACAUGCAAGUACUGCUAUACAUGUGGAUAAGAGGUAACCGCUAUACAUGAGAGUGGGAGAUAACUGCCAUACACAUGAGUGGAAAACAACUUAGUGGUUGCAUGGCCAAAAAGUCACCUAUAAAUACCAGAAGGCACACUAGGUAUGAGAGACCGUUUUAGAAUUUCUCUCCUGUAUUCUCUAUUGUUUAUCAAAAAGUUAUUUCUUAUUCACUUAAACCCAAUCAUUAAUUCUUAUGCCGGAAAUACAACGGGGAGAGAACUAGCCUCUUAUUGCAGGUAUUUCAUUGUUCAUCAUAGCAGCAAAAGCCACCAUGUUCUAUCAAGGAAGUCGAAAGGUUGUUUCAUUGUUAUUUCUGGUGCAUCAUUUGUGGUAGGUUAAAAAAAUCAAUAUUUCUAAACCACCUCAUCCGUGAUUUUUUGCCUUCUUAAUAUUUUCUUCCAAUUUUAUUUCCACUAAAAAAUUAUUUUACAAGACAAAAAUUGAGUUAAACGUAAAAGCUUACUUAUGAAUGAACAAUAAAUAAUUAAAAAAUUAGUUAUAAGCAAAAAAUUGCUUAUAAUAAAAAUUUACUUAUAACUAAAACAUCACUCAUAACAUAAAGUUCACUUUUUUCUUUUUCUUUUUUUUUCUUGUAAAAAUUGUUUAUUAUGUAUAAAAUACUACUAGUAAAAUAAAAUAAAAAUACUUAUAAAAUUUAAAAAUUUAAAAGUAAAACUUACGAGUAAAAUUAAUCAAUUAAGUCCGAAAUUAAAUUAUAAAUGUAAGGUUUAAUUACAAGUAAUAUAUUUAUUCUUAAUUUUUAAUUUUAACUUAUAAAUAAAUAUUUCAUUUUUUAAGUUCAAAAUUUACUUGGCCCUCGUUUUACUCUUUUUAUUUAAAAAUCCUUUAUUUCGCAUACUCAUUUUUAAUCACAUUCAUACAAUAAAAUAUUUUACAUGUAAAUCGAAAAAUUUUCACCUAUUUUUAAUCAUAAAUUCUCCAAAAAAUUACUAUUUAAAAUCUCAUUUCCCCUUAAUUUCUCUUUAUAAUUGGCAUCAAACAGAGAGUUAUAUAUGAAUGUUACUCAUAGGUGCUUAUGAGUAAAAAAAAUACAAAAACCUACCUUUUAGAUUCAUGCACAAUUAUAAUUCUAUUCUUUAAAAUGAAAAAAGAAUCAAUAAAUAAUAAUCUCUCAAACAUGGAUUGAACUGUUUCAAAAAUCGCUACUAAAAAAAUCACUUAAAAUCAGACUCCUCAUAAACGCUGAAUAUUGAUAUCUCAAAAAACCGCAUAAUCAGUACCCAAAAACUCUGAAGCCCUUAUUGUUUUCUUCAAAUGUCGCUCUUUAACUUAUUGUUGUGUCGUUAUCACCCCUAUAACACUAUCCAUAGUAACUCUACCGAUCAUCAUAUACCCCGAAGCCAUAAAUCCUAGCUCCGCCAUUAAUUGACUCAAAGUUUGAUACUGAUCGUUGAGUGACCAAGCAAUAUAAAACUCCAAAUUAAAUUCAGGUGCUGUUUCUUUCUUUAUUUGUAUAUUUUGUUUUUAUUGCCCCGUCCACGUUAAUAAUUAAUUAUAACAUAAAUAUUUUGAAUAUUAUUAUAAAUUAAAUAUUAAUUAGUGAAUGAUCAUUUUAUUCUUGCAUGCUUAACUAUUAUUUAUAAUGUACACGUGCAGUCAUAAUUCUUAUAUAAAUAUAGAAUUUUGGUUCUCAAUAAAAUAAACACAAUUCUAUUGACUCUCUAUUUUCUUUCAUUUUCUCUCUAAUUUAUAAUGCAUGUUAUUAACACAAAGAUUCUAGCCAAUUGAGUUAGCUAAACAUAUUCCUCUUUCUACUCACGAAUCUCUAACCAGGUUGACGUACGGAAAGCAAUUUUUCUUCUGUUCAAUGAAUAUAUGAAAUUUUAACUAGUUGGGUCGAUAAAUAAACUCUUCUUCUCGUUCAAUGAAAUCGUCAGUAUUCAUUUUAACUUUGAAUUGUAUAAUAAAGUUUUAAAGAUUAAUUUGAUUAUACCAAUUAAUAGAAAUAUGUUUGCUUGAAUGCAAUUUAUUAUUUCUUACAACAUUUGAGAAAGAAUAUUGUAUUAUUAUUAGUCUCGAAGAAGUAACAAACUAAAUCAAUAUUCUGAAAAAUAUAGUAGAUUGUCAAGGGCAAAUCCAGCAUUGUAGUUCAGCUAGAGCAGAGAGAUUAACUGCUGACCCGUCACCGUUGACCAAUGACCAUUGACAAUCAACAAUAGUAAAUAUAAUUCAAUACAUAUGUAAAUGUACUAAAACAUAAAAAGUAUAUACAUCUGAAAAUAUAAUUCAAUAUAACCCAAAAUAAUAAAAAAACAAAAUGUACGACACUAUAAACUUAGACGACAGCAUUCUACGGGAUCUUAUAAUUUCCUAAACCUAAAUUCCAAAUCACAAAUCAAAUAUUACUAAUGAUAAAUUAUAACCCAUAACUCAUACAACAUAAAUUAUUUAUCAUAAAUCACAAUUUUCAUUUAUUCAUCAUACAGGAACCUCACCUCAAUGCCAAAAAAAACCAAAAUGAAGACAAAAGUGUCAAUUAACCUCAAGAAUCAAGAUCGGCAAUAAUUUUUCCACUUAACAUAAUCUGUAUGAAAAUUAAACUUAAUCUUAAAGACUUAAGCUAUCAUCAAUUUCCAACUUCUAAUUUCCAACACAAAUCGAACAUUUCUCACAAAUCAUAAAAUUCCCAAUUCACAUAUUUACAAAAUUUACAAAUUCCCCAAUUUUCAUAAAUCAUAACCAUCAUAUUUAACAUAACAAUCAAAUUACAUCAUCAAAAUCAAAAAGAAAAAAAUAAAAUAAAAGCCAGAAUAGCUCACCAAGGCAAGAAGUUGCACUCGCAGCCAUUGGCGUCCACUCAACUCGUACGAUCGCACCACUCCAUCGUCCACCUCCUCGUCACUCACGGCUCACUGACUCACCAUCCACUCAACUCGCACCACUCUGUCAGGCACCAAUCCACUAUCUUUGCAAUCGCCCUUAGCCUUCAGCAGUUCCAUUCAGCCUUUGGUUAAUUGGUUUCAAUUUUGGAGUUUGGACUCUUCAAAUUGGUGAAUGCAAUGGAAAUAUAUCCACUCCAGCCGUCCAUUAAUUUCAAGGUAUUGGGCCAUUGGAUUUGUGCUUAUAUUUUUUAAAAAAGGCCCAAAAUGGGGGGGAGUAGGCCCAAUAUCCCAGCAGCUUCUUCAUCUUCGCGCUGCAGCUCUGCUUGCCGAGUUUCUUCCCGACGGACCAACGGACAAGCUUGCAAAUGACUGCAAUAAUGAACAUUCCGGCGGAUCCAGCUAGGGCAGUACCUGGAUCCGCCACUAAGCAUUGUCACUUAUCAAUAUUUAAAAAGAAUAUUAUUCUUAUUCUUGAACAUUAAUAUUCUAUUUGUAUUCCUUUUUUAUGAUUAUAAGAAAAAAGUGC
rnacentral:lncRNA from 1 species